rnacentral:rRNA from 1 species
AGGCUUAACACAUGCAAGUCGAACGGGCUUCUUCGGAAGUCAGUGGCAGACGGGUGAGUAACACGUGGGAACGUGCCCUUCGGUUCGGAAUAACUCAGGGAAACUUGAGCUAAUACCGGAUACGCCCUUAUGGGGAAAGGUUUACUGCCGAAGGAUCGGCCCGCGUCUGAUUGGCUUGUUGGUGGGGUAACGGCCUACCAAGGCGACGAUCAGUAGCUGGUCUGAGAGGAUGAUCAGCCACACUGGGACUGAGACACGGCCCAGACUCCUACGGGAGGCAGCAGUGGGGAAUAUUGGACAAUGGGCGCAAGCCUGAUCCAGCCAUGCCGCGUGAGUGAUGAAGGCCUUAGGGUUGUAAAGCUCUUUUGUCCGGGACGAUAAUGACGGUACCGGAAGAAUAAGCCCCGGCUAACUUCGUGCCAGCAGCCGCGGUAAUACGAAGGGGGCUAGCGUUGCUCGGAAUCACUGGGCGUAAAGGGCGCGUAGGCGGCCGAUUAAGUCGGGGGUGAAAGCCUGUGGCUCAACCACAGAAUUGCCUUCGAUACUGGUUGGCUUGAGACCGGAAGAGGACAGCGGAACUGCGAGUGUAGAGGUGAAAUUCGUAGAUAUUCGCAAGAACACCAGUGGCGAAGGCGGCUGUCUGGUCCGGUUCUGACGCUGAGGCGCG